UCGUCUAAGCAUAGUAUACGUAAUACAACGCAAUUCAAUUGUAGUCACUACAGUAAAGACUUGACUGUAUACAGUGUACAGCAUUCCAGGUUAACGAAGAUAUUUAUGAUUUUAAAAGGGUUGGUGAAAGUUGCGAGAGUAAUAAAAAAAAGGAUACCUAACUUUCUAAAGUUAGUGAAAGAGUUUUCAUGUAAUCUAAAAAGUAGGAAGGGAUGAAAAUUUCACUUUACCUGUAUAGUUAAAGAGUUGGUCAGUUUUUUUUUAACUCGCAAACACAAACGACCUCAAACUAGAUAAGGAUACUUUUAAAAACUUAAAAUCUAUCGAUCCCAGAGAGAACCAGGACGAACCUACCACCGACGCCCCUAGAAUAAUCCGGCGUAUAAAUUGGAUUAUCCGAGAGGAGGCAAGGGGAGAGAAAGACUCGACUCCUUUGGCUGCAGACUGAACGUGAUGGUGAAACUAAAGGAGACAAGAGAUAGCCGGGGCUGCCAGAUCGCUAUUUCACGAAAGAAGAUGCGAGAGUCCUGAUGCACAUACAUUUUCCCUUAGUAUACCCGUUGGAUCGUUUCACAUGAGUCGCCUCCUAUCUACCAAUGCAAUAUCAAUUUAACUUGAAUAGUAAUGGAGGAUAAAUAACCAUACAUGCUUGAAUAAGUAUCAAAUUUGUGGUUGGACUUCCACGAAAAAUACGUGAAGAAUAAAGAACAAGCCGGAUUAUUUAGGCAAACAUAAUGUCUCUAAAAAAUAGUCGAAAAACAAUAUAACUCAAGUGAUGCUGGCAUUGUUGGCAAGCAGCUGCAAGAUAAUACUCUCCGAUUACAAUAAAAAAUUAGGAAGGUCAAUAUUAUAAGCCGCAAAGCACCACUGAGCAGACAGAUCGACACGCCUCUUUUUUGCAUAUCCCACCCAACCAAUUUUUGGAUAUUGACGUAACGUGGCAGUCUUUGUUAAACUAGGCAGAGGGUGAAAUUUCGCGUGGUUUUCGCAAGAGCUCUCUCUUGUGUUAAAUCGAUUCAACAGCCCAGGGAAUACCCGACAUUGCGGCAUGAGACUGUUUCUCUCCACUCAGCUUCAACACCAUUAACCCUCUCGUGGUUCGUGGUUCAUAGCCCCUCAGUGUACCGGAUCGAUACGACCUCUGGUCGAAAUCUGGAAUCUAGCUCCAUAGCGACUGUGUUUUCUCAUCUGCUACAUUGUGCCAGAAUUUUUUCAGAUUUUCUUUCAUUCAAGUUAAAAAUUCUCUAAUUUUCGGACACUUA